UUCGGUUCGGAUAAUUGUAAUUACUAACGGUUAAGUUCGGUUAGUGAAUUGUCAUCAAAAUAAUGGUUUGGUUCGAGA
rnacentral:pre_miRNA from 1 species